GAGCCUGUGAUGAAGAUAUAACCGUGCCAGAGAUGAGUAUCUUAUGAAUUCGUCGAUGACGGCGCAAUCCUCUAAGAAGUUCUGAGCUCAACCUCCUUUGUUUCCUUAUUUUUGUUCUUCAAAUUUUGAUAGUAUCUAAAUAAUAACCGUUUGUUUAAAUUUCCAUUCAAUUAUCUGUUACUUAAAUAUUCAAUCUUAGUAGUGGUUGUUCUUUCAAAUUUAGGGUUUUGUAAAGUGUUGAAAAGAAAAAAAGCGAAGUGAUGAUAACAAAUCAUGUCUGUCAAUCCGCUGAUAUAUUUGUGAUGUAUUCAUGUAUCUCGACAGGUUCUGAUCGCUCUCUAAUUUUUCAUCAUCUUCAUAUUUUUGUUUAUAGAUAUUGUAUGCAUUGUUUUAAACAAUGUUUUUAUUAUUAACAAGUUGUUGGUCUAGUGUUGUAAGGUCUUGUUAGAUUCUCAGGAUGUCCGAAAAGGUAAAUGUUUGAUUCUUGUGAGUAACAUUUAUUAAGAUAAAAAAAUAAUGUUUUGAUUGUUUAGAAUUGAAUGGUUACAUUAUUAUGAAACAAAAUUGUGAUGGGCAUAUGAUGAAUCUGAUGUUGUAAAUGGGUAAUUUGCAUCUGAAUUCUUUUGAUGUUUUUAUCACCUUGGAGAACUGAUGCCCACC